rnacentral:rRNA from 1 species
GAUGAACGCUGGCGGCGUGCCUAAUACAUGCAAGUCGAGCGAACGGACGAGAAGCUUGCUUCUCUGAUGUUAGCGGCGGACGGGUGAGUAACACGUGGAUAACCUACCUAUAAGACUGGGAUAACUUCGGGAAACCGGAGCUAAUACCGGAUGAUAUUUUGAACCGCAUGGUUCAAAAGUGAAAGACGGUCUUGCUGUCACUUAUAGAUGGAUCCGCGCUGCAUUAGCUAGUUGGUAAGGUAACGGCUUACCAAGGCAACGAUGCAUAGCCGACCUGAGAGGGUGAUCGGCCACACUGGAACUGAGACACGGUCCAGACUCCUACGGGAGGCAGCAGUAGGGAAUCUUCCGCAAUGGGCGAAAGCCUGACGGAGCAACGCCGCGUGAGUGAUGAAGGUCUUCGGAUCGUAAAACUCUGUUAUUAGGGAAGAACAUAUGUGUAAGUAACUGUGCACAUCUUGACGGUACCUAAUCAGAAAACCACGGCUAACUACGU